AUGAUGCGCUCAGAUUUUGUUCUUGUUCGUGUCGUUAACAUUGAAAAAUUUUAUGUGUUUGUAAAUUGUUAUAAAGUUAUUUUGUUCACGUGUCUUAAUUUCACCCUCCUUUCUGAAGGACAGCCUGAGUGUGUGCAGAGUUCGGUUAACGUCCGUGGACAUGGCUCUGAGGCCCCGACGGGACGCCCGCUCUCCCCCAGCCCUUGUGGGGCCUCUCUGUCUUUCACGCCACGCAGUUCGCUUAAGGUGUGUCCGUGGAGAAGCGUUUCAGGCUUUCUGACCUGGAGUUUGUUGAGCUUCUACAGCGUGUACAUUAAUGGUGUUCAUCAAAUUUGCCAAGUUUUGGGCCAUUAUUUUUUCAAAUAUUUUGUGUCCUGUUCUCACCUUCCCCUGUUUCUGGGACUCCACUCUGCCAGUGUGCUUACUGGUGCCCGUGGGGCUGAGGCACCACUUUGUGUUCUCCAUGCUCUUCAGUGCUCCCCUGUGCUCUCUGUGCUCCCCUGUCUCCAUGCUCCCCCAUGCUCCCCGGUGCUCCCUGUGCCCUCUGUGCCCCCUGUGCUCCCAUGUGCUCCCCUGUGCUCCUCCGUGCUCUCCGUGCUCCCCUGUGCUCCUUUGUGCUCCCACGUGCUCCCCUGUGCUCCUCUGUGCUCCUCUGUGCUCCCAUGUGCUCCCCUGUGCUGUCCGUGCUCCCCAGUGCUCCUCUGUGCCCCCUGUGCUCCCCUGUGCUCCCACGUGCUCCCCCGUGCUCUCUGUGCUCCCCCGUGCUCUCUGUGCUCCCCUGUGCUCUCCAGUGCUCCCUGUGCCCUCUGUGCCCCCUGUGCUCCUCUGUCUCCCAUGUGCUCCCCUGUGCUCUUCAUGCUCCCCCGUGCUCUCUGUGCUCCCCUGUGCUCUCCGGUGCUCCCUGUGCCCUCUGUGCCCCCUGUGCUCCUCUGUGCUCCCACGUGCUCCCCUGUGCUCUUCAUGCUCCCCCAUGCUCUACGUGCUCCCCCGUGCUCUCUGUGCUCCCCUGUGCUCCUCUGUGCUCCCCUGUGCUGUCCGUGCUCCCCAGUGCUCCCCUGUGCCCCCUGUGCUCCUUUGUGCUCCCACGUGCUCCCCUGUGCUUUCCGUGCUCCCCCGUGCUCUCCGGUGCUCCCUGUGCCCUCUGUGUCCCCUGUGCUCCUUUGUGCUCCCACGUGCUCCCCUGUGCUUUCCGUGCUCCCCCGUGCUCCCCUGUGCCCCCUGUGCCCCCUGUGCUCCUCCGUGCUCUCCGUGCUCCCCUGUGCUCCUUCGUGUUCCUUUGUGCUCCUCAUGCUCUGCUAUGCUCCCCAUGCCUCCCCCAUACUCCCCCAUGCGCUUGUCCCCCCUAGAUGCAGUGGCCCCCUGGCCCUCUCUCCUGGCUGCCAACAGUGGGAGUGUUUCCUGGCAGGUAUUGAAUUUCCCGGGAUUUCCACAGUUCCCUUUGUAUCGGCUUGCCGAUCUUCCCUAUUUGCUGACACGUUGUUCUCAGACUUUCUUGCAGCUUGUUAG
rnacentral:lncRNA from 1 species